rnacentral:rRNA from 1 species
UACGUAGGGUGCGAGCGUUAAUCGGAAUUACUGGGCGUAAAGUGUGCGCAGGCGGCCGAGCAAGUCGAGUGUGAAAGCCCCGAGCUUAACUUGGGAACUGCGCUCGAAACUACUUGGCUAGAGUGUGGCAGAGGGAGGUGGAAUUCCACGUGUAGCGGUGAAAUGCGUAGAGAUGUGGAGGAACACCGAUGGCGAAGGCAGCCUCCUGGGCCAGCACUGACGCUCAUGCACGAAAGCGUGGGGAGCAAACAGG